rnacentral:rRNA from 1 species
AGUGAACGCUGGCGGCAGGCCUAACACAUGCAAGUCGAGCGGCAGCGCGGGGGCAACCCUGGCGGCGAGCGGCGGACGGGUGAGGAAUUCGUCGGAAUCUGCCUUUUUGUGGGGGAUAACGUUGGGAAACUUACGCUAAUACCGCAUACGUCCUACGGGAGAAAGUGGGGGACCGCAAGGCCUCACGCAGAAAGAUGAGCCGACGACCGAUUAGCUAGUUGGUGGGGUAAAGGCCCACCAAGGCGACGAUCGGUAGCUGGUCUGAGAGGAUGAUCAGCCACACUGGGACUGAGACACGGCCCAGACUCCUACGGGAGGCAGCAGUGGGGAAUAUUGGACAAUGGGCGCAAGCCUGAUCCAGCCAUGCCGCGUGUGUGAAGAAGGCCUUCGGGUUGUAAAGCACUUUUGUCCGGAAAGAAAUCCCUGGAGCUAAUACCUUCGGGGGAUGACGGUACCGGAAGAAUAAGCACCGGCUAACUUCGUG